rnacentral:rRNA from 1 species
AUUGAACGCUAGCGGCAGGCCUAACACAUGCAAGUCGAGCGAGCGGCGGAUGGGUGAGUAAUGUAUGGGGACUGCCCGAUAGAGGGGGCUAACUACUGGAAACGGUAGCUAAUACCGCAUACUAUCGGAUAACCCAUAUGGGAUUAGCUAGUAGGUGAGGUAAUGGCCCACCUGGGCGACGAUCCCUAGCUGGGCUGAGAGGAUGAGCAGCCACACUGGGACUGAGACACGGCCCAGACUCCUACGGAGGCAGCAGUGGGGAAUAUUGCACAAUGGGCGCAAGCCUGAUGCAGCCAUGCCGCGUGUAUGAAGAAGGCCCUAGGGUUGUAAAGUACUUUUGGAAGAGAAGCGGUAUCUGCAGAAUAAGCACCGGCUAACUACGUGCCAGCCGCCGCGGUAAUAC